rnacentral:tRNA from 1 species
UCCCUGGUGGCUUAGAUGGUAAAGAAUCUGCCUGCAAUGCAGGAGACCCGGGUUCAGUCCCUGGGUCGGGAA